rnacentral:lncRNA from 1 species
CCUGGGUGACAGAGCCAGACCCUAUCUGCAAAUAAAACUAAACAAGACAAAAACAUGCUGUGGAGAUACAAGGUGGAAGCAGGCUGGAAAAAAUAUCCCUGGUAAGGAUACAAUGAAGGAAUGCUGGUAACCUCACCCUGGUGUUCCUUCGCCAGUGGCGAGGGCUGUGGUUUUCAUCAUGGGAGAAGCCCUUAACUAGGCUUCUAAACUAGCUAACCUCACCUGCCAACUUAUGCCAGCUGACAAGACAUCAGCGGACACAGACCUUUUCUGAACAAAGUAGAACUCAGGAAUCCCCAAGCGUCCAGCAGGCAUCAACUAUCACACUCUGGCCCUGGUGGUGACAGAGCAGAGAGACCUAAGAGAUGGCGGGGUCCAGGAUUCCACUCACAUCCGCAGGAAUGUGGUAGAUGCUGCCAGCAAGGAGGGUGAGGGAGGCGGACAGGAGCCCUGAUGCUCCUUUUCAAUUACCUUUGUGACAGCCCAUCAGAGGAGUUGGGCUGCCUCAUUGCAGAGAGGCUCAUGUAGGGGAGAGGAGGGUGCCAGAGCUGGAUUAUCACCCACCCCUCCCUUGGGGUGUGGGUAGCUGAGCUGGGAAGUGCCUCUGAAAAGCUGACGUGCCAAUAAACAAAAAACAUGGAGAGAUUUUCAUGGGAAUCUUCCAGAGUGCACACCUAGGUCAGAUCAUCAUUUCUUUAGCCCUGUAGAACGUAAUUCCAGACAGAUAUACUGGUUUACACAUCAAUAAUCUAAUUGUACUUUAAAUGAGGAAGAAGGGCUAUCUCGGCUUUGGAAUAGCAUCAUGUUUAGGUCAAUGAAUGAUUGUUCCAAUUCUCCUUGCAGGU